GGGGAAUUAGCUCAGAUGGUAGAGCGCUCGCUUUGCAUGCGAGAGGUAGGGGGAUCGAUACCCUCAUUCUCCA
rfam:Coccomyxa subellipsoidea C-169, whole genome shotgun sequence.